GGCGGAGUAUGGUCGCAAGGCUGAAACUUAGAGGAAUUGACGUAAGGGCACCACCAGGAGUAGUGCCUGUGGCUUAAUUUGACUCAACAUGGGGAAACUUACCAGGUCCAAACUUAGUAAUUCUUAGUUGGUGGAGUGAUUUGUCUGAUUAAUUCUGUUAACAAAUGAUACCUCAGCCUGCUAACAAGAUAUGCGGAGAUAUCCCUUUACGGCCAGCUUCUUAGAGGGACUACGACCUUUUAGGCCACAGAAGUUUGAGGCAAUAAUAGGUUUAUGAUGCCCUUAGCCUUUCUGGGUCGUACGUGCGCUACACUGAUGUAUUCAAUGAGUUUAUAACCUUAGUCGACAGGCUUAGGUAAUCUUGUAAAUUUUAUUGUGAUGGGGUUAGAUCAUUGCAAUUGUUGUUAUUCAACGAGAAAUUCCUAGUAAGUGUGAGUUAUCCGUUGCCUUGACUGCAUCCCUGUUCUUUGUACACACCACCCGUCACUCCUUCCGAUUGAAUAAUCCAGCAAAAUAUUCAGAUCGCAACAACAUGGGUGGUUCACUGCACCUUAUCAUUUAGAGGAAGGAUAAGUCCUAAUAAGGUUUCCAUAGGUGAACCUGCGGAAG
rnacentral:ncRNA from 1 species